AAGAGACCGGCGCGACGGGUGCGUAACGCGUAUGCAAUCUACUUUGCAGAGGAUAGCCCAGAGUAAAUUUGGAUUAAUACCUCAUAGUAUAGUACUUUGGCAUCAAGGAACUAUUAAAGUCACAACGGCAAAAGAUGAGCAUGCGUCCCAUUAGCUAGUUGGUAAGGUAACGGCUUACCAAGGCAACGAUGGGUAGGGGUCCUGAGAGGGAGAUCCCCCGCACUGGUACUGAGACACGGACCAGACUCCUACGGGAGGCAGCAGUGAGGAAUAUUGGACAAUGGGCGCAAGCCUGAUCCAGCCAUGCCGCGUGCAGGAUGACGGUCCUAUGGAUUGUAAACUGCUUUUAUACAGGAAGAAACACUACUUCGUGAAGUAGCUUGACGGUACUGUAAGAAUAAGGAUCGGCUAACUCCGUG
rnacentral:rRNA from 1 species